rnacentral:rRNA from 2 species
UAGACCGCCUGGGGAGUACGGCCGCAAGGUUAAAACUCAAAUGAAUUGACGGGGGCCCGCACAAGCGGUGGAGCAUGUGGUUUAAUUCGAUGCAACGCGAAGAACCUUACCUGGUCUUGACAUCCACGGAAGUUUUCAGAGAUGAGAAUGUGCCUUCGGGAACCGUGAGACAGGUGCUGCAUGGCUGUCGUCAGCUCGUGUUGUGAAAUGUUGGGUUAAGUCCCGCAACGAGCGCAACCCUUAUCCUUUGUUGCCAGCGAUUCGGUCGGGAACUCAAAGGAGACUGCCAGUGAUAAACUGGAGGAAGGUGGGGAUGACGUCAAGUCAUCAUGGCCCUUACGACCAGGGCUACACACGUGCUACAAUGGCGCAUACAAAGAGAAGCGACCUCGCGAGAGCAAGCGGACCUCAUAAAGUGCGUCGUAGUCCGGAUUGGAGUCUGCAACUCGACUCCAUGAAGUCGGAAUCGCUAGUAAUCGUGGAUCAGAAUGCCACGGUGAAUACGUUCCCGGGCCUUGUACACACCGCCCGUCACACCAUGGGAGUGGGUUGCAAAAGAAGUAGGUAGCUUAACCUUCGGGAGGGCGCUUACCACUUUGUGAUUCAUGACUGGGGUGAAGUCGUAACAAGGUAACCGUAGGGGAACCUGCGGUUGGAUCACCUCCUUA